GCUCCCGUAGUAUAGCAUGGAUAGUAUGCGGGCUUGCGGAGCCUGUGACCGGGGUUCAAAUCCCCGCGGGGGCA
rnacentral:tRNA from 1 species